ensembl:lncRNA
CAAGCUUCAGUGGACACUGCAUGUUCCCAAGAGAUAGACAGUUAGCAAAUGUUGUUCCUUUUCCCUGAUUUCUGGGGAGGGGAGUGUUUUGGGGUAGGUCUGUGACCCCCUAAUGUCCUCUCAGGUCUGUCUCCUGGUCAUUAUUUGGAUGUAUGGAAGAUACAUCUCCAUUUUGCCCUCCCCUCAUUUUUCAGAUAGGGGAUUAUUCUGAGCCCUAUCCUUACUCUGGGCAUAGGCUGUUGGGGCCAGCUUCACCCUCACCAGUUUCCUGGUAAACAACUCUUGAUUUUUGAAUUCUAAAUACAUAGUUCUUCCUCUUGCCCCUUCUGACAUUAUUAAGAUGAUCAUAAGCAUUCAAUGAACAGGUAUUUUAACAAAUAUCUAUUCCGUGCCAACAAUGUGUCCAGUUCAGUUCUAGGAGCUGAGGAUAUAGUAGUGAACAAGUGAGAAAGUUCCUACACCCAUGUAGCUGAUCUUAUGAGAGAGACAGACAACAAUAAAUAAAUGCAUAAUUUUGGGUAGUGAUACCUACUCUGUAAAAAAAUCAAGCAGGUUAAGCAGAUUUGGCUGGGGGACUAUUUUUACAUAAGGUAGUCUGAAAAGAUCUCUCUUAUAAGGUGACAUUUGAGAGAUCUGAAUGAAACAUGAGGCUAAAUAUUUCAGGCUAAGUGAGCAGGAAGUAUGAAGGUCCUGAGGCAGGAAAAAACAGGGCAAAUGCAAUGAAUAGCAGCAAUUCGGUUUGUGUGACUAAAGCAGGUAGAACAUUAGAGGCUGAUAGGAGAAGAGGGUGGAGGAGAGAUAGAAACCAGGUUAGACAGGGCUUCUAUACAUUUGGAAGUUGUUCUAAAUAAAAUGGCACGAACUUGUUUAUGUUUACAGAUAUCUUCCUAGAUGCUGCUUGGAGAAUAGACUGGGGAAGGGGCAUGAAAGAGGUAGAAGCAGGGUAACCAUUUAGGAGGCUACCAUAUAACCCAGGUUAAGAUAUUGGUGCCUUGGUCCAGGAUAGCUACAGCAGAGUUAGCAAGUGGUUAAUUCUGAUGAUUUGAAGGUAGCACUGACAAGACUUGCUGAAGGAUUGGAAAUGUCAUUUAAGAAUAAGAAAAGUGAGUUCCCAUUGUGGCUCAGCAGGUUAAGAACCUGAGUAGUAUCCAUGAGGAUUCAAGUUCGAUACCUGGCCUCGCUCAGUAGGUUAAGGAGCCAGUGUUGCUAGGAGCCGUGCUGUAGGUCACAGAGCAGACAUGGUUCAGAUCCCCGCUGCUGUGGCUGUGGCAUAGGCUGGCAGCUGCAGCUCUUGAUUAGACCCCCUAGCCUGGGGAACUUCCAUAUACUGCUGGUGUGGCCCAAUAAAAAUAAGUAAAUAAAUAAAAGAAUAAGAAGCACAUUGGGGGCACCUGUCAGGUUUGGGGAUUGGGAAAAUAAAUGAACAACAGUGCCAUUCUUGGAGGAGUUCCCGUCAUGGCUUAGUGGUUAAUGAAUCCGACUAGGAACCAUGAGGUUGCAGGUUUUAUCCCUGGCCUUGCUCAGGGGUUAAAGAUCUGGCAUUGCCGUGAGCUGUGGUGUAGGUUGCAGACGUGGCUCGGAUCCUGCGUUGCUGUGGCUCGGGCGUAGGCCAGCGGCUACAGCUCUGAUUUGACCCCUAGCAUGGGAACCUCCAUAUGCCACAGGAGCGGCCCUUUUUCUAGGC